ACAUUAAUAUCAAUCUAAUGACAUUCCAUAGGAAUAAAAAUCCAAUGGGAUCCAGUUCUUAGCAGUCCCAGCCUAGUCAGAAGUACAAAGUCAAAUACCAUUUGCACAUCACCAAGAGGUACAAUCUGAUGAGUAACAGGAUAUCUGAUCUAAAAGCUUGCCAGGUUUCACAAGCAGUUUGAGUAUCACCAGGGCAGAUCAAGAAGAAAUAUGAAGGCCAGGUUCAUAACAAGCAGUUUCUUCAUUGCAAUUACAGAUUUAAAAACUUGAAUGA